rnacentral:tRNA from 1 species
CGCCGUAGCCAAGUGGUAAGGCACGGGACUGCAAAUCCCUGAUCCCCGGUUCGAAUCCGGGCGG